GCUUGUUUUAUUAACUUCUCAAUAAUACUAUAUAAAUAGAUACAACACUAAAAUUUCAUAAUUUUUAAAACCCAAAUAUUUUACCAUUCUAUUUAAACUAAAACGCAAACUUGAACACUAGCGUGGUUAUUGAUACACUUGAAUACCUGUUUUAUUUGGAGUUGAUUUUGUUUUAUUGCAAGCCAUAUUACAAAUUUAUUAAACAAUAUAUAGAGGAAAACAACUCCCAUGUUGCUACUUAACUAUGUACGUCUUACAAAUGACAAAAUCCACUCCCCAAAUUCUUUUGCAAGACGAAGACUAUCGUUAUUUAACGAGCAAAUGAAGUUAAUCAGUUUUAUAAAAAUGACGCAUUUGAAGAAUUAAAGGAGAGAACAAUAAUAUCACUCUAAUAAGUUAUCUUAUGUCUAAAUAAUUAUAAAAACAAAAUAUGCAGUUAAAAUGGCUAAAUAAUUACGUCAACAAGAGUUGGCGCAAUGACAACAAAAAUAAAAAGUUAGUCGCAAUAAGAAUGUUAAUUCAAUAUAGUUUAAACUAGUUAAAUAUAAAAUAUUUUAUCUUUUUGCAUUGCUUUCCUCUGCUGAAAUUGUUAAUUUCUAUGAUCAAGGGUUCAUAAUAUAUUUAUGCAUAUGUUAAUACCCGAAAAAAUAUUAGAUUCAAACCAAAAGAAAAAUAAAUUAAAGUAUUAGAGCAUUUUUAGUAGAAUAUGAAAUUUUUAAACGUUACACAACUUAGAUGAUUUAAAUGAUUUCCGAAUAAAAAAAUAAAAACAAGAAUUUUAAAACCAGAAUCUCAGAAGUUACCUAAUUCAAAAUUAAUGCUUCGGUUAGGUUAAACUUCAUAAUAAUUAAAAAGGUUAAAAUAUUAAUGGAUUUACUAGUAAGUUAACAAUAAAUAAUGAUGUUGAUUUAAGUGUAAACCCAAAGAGUCUGAAUUAGAAUUGAAAUUAAGAUAAUUGAAUAAAUAAAUAAUAACAGAGCAAAGUUAUAAAAAUUUCUAAUAUAAAAUUAUUUAAUAAAAGUAAAUGAGGUAAACUUUUGAAAAGUCACAAAAAAAACAACAACUGAAUAACUGAUUUAGAAUAAUAUUUAAAUAAAAUAUCUUAAUAACAAUACUUUACAGCUUGUAAAGUUAAACAGAAAUAAAGAUAUUGAAAUUAAUCUACUUAAAAAUGCAAUUGAUCGUAUGAAAGCUACGCUAGAGUGUUUAAUGCUCAAUCAGAAAAGCGACAAGCUGGAAUAAAAACACGUCCAGGUGCAGUAACAUCAAUAGAAAAAAAAAACAAUCAUGAAGUAAGAAAGGAAUUAAAGGAAGAAAAGAAGACCAAGAUAUUAUUCAAACAUAAUUUGUAUUGUAUUUACAAUUAGAUUUAAUGCUUUAAAGAAUUUUAUGAUUUAAAAAUAAAAA